rnacentral:lncRNA from 1 species
UUCUGAGGCUGUAGAGAGAACCCUUCGCAGGGAAGGAAAAGGUAGCUAAGCCACUUUGGUCUAAUACAUAGGUAAAGACUUAUUGAUGGGCAGCUGGGAUCUAGGCUUGGUGCUCAAGGAGCAUUGCUCAGAGUCUAGUGGCAGGAAGUAGGCAGGCAUCCAAUAUGAUACAGUAUUAUUAACUGCAACCAGCGUGCUGUGCGUUAGACCCCCAGAACUUUUCCGUCUUAUCUCUGAAAGUCUGUGCUCAUUGGCUAACACCUCCCCUUUUCUCCCACGUCUCCACCCCAAACAACCGUCGUUCUGCUGUCUGGUUCUGUGGGUGUGAAUUUUCUAGAUUCC